GCGCGGCUGGACAGUAAGCGACGCUCCCGCCCCGGUGCCGCCGGCAUAGACCUCCUUGCUUCCCUCCGCAUCUCACAAAUGAGGCGCAACAGAUAAAGUCCACAUUGCAAAAGUGAAGGUGGAUCCCAUCCUGCGUUUUCAACCACCCUCCCAAGUCGGUGGCGCGGAAUCCAGUCCUUCAGACAAACCGCCAUCACAGUCCGCACACCUGCGCCGCUCCGCCCGGCUCCCGACCACGUCGAGCAGGAAACCCCGCUACUUUCCGAGCUGCAUCUCCUCGGCUCGCCUAGACGCACCUAGAAAACAAGCAACUUCAGUGAUCGCAGACUCCGCUUUCCCGGGAAGAAAGGGCAAGGCGGCUACCAUCAGUGUCUGAUUACACAAACACACCUAGGGGCAGCUUGGGGUGUGAAGGAGGG
rnacentral:lncRNA from 1 species